GCUGUCAGGUACAUCUCUUUAAUAUGGUCUCACAUGGUCGCCCACUGAAGCUAAGCAGGGCUGCGCCUGGUCAGUACCUGGAUGGGAGACCACAAGGGAAAGCUAGGUUGCUGCCGGAA
rnacentral:rRNA from 1 species